GCCAAAGGGAGGAGGACCACAAGGCUCAGGGACUGAAAAGCAGGGUAAGCGGCCGCAGCCAUGAUGGAUCGACCCGAGUCGCCAACGGAAUUUUGAGAAACAUGGAAUGUAGUCUGGACAAGUGAGGGAGUUUAUCCUCAUAAAGCAAAACGAAAUGUCAAAGUUGUAUGCAGCUGAGAGCAUAUUUGGAAAAUAUCAAAGACAACGUACCAGGGAGAGAAAAAGAUGCAACCUGCCAGGACCUGAAGGAAGAAAUUAGAGAAAGCAGAGGCCAUUAAGACUCAGAAAAUGGGAAGUUGUCGUCCUGGAAGCUGGAAAUCUGAAAUCAAGAUGUCAGCAAGACCAUGCUGUAUCUGACCCUCUGAGAAGAAUCUUCGCAGCUUCUCGUGGUAGCCUGCAAUCCUGGGUGUUCUUUGGCUUAUGGUUGCAUCACUCCAAUCUCUGCCUCCAUCUGUACAUGGCAUUCUCCCUGUCUUUACAUUGUUUUCCCUCUAGGCAUGUCUGUCUCUGUGUCCCAAAUUCCCCUUUUUGUAAGGAUGCCAGUCCUGUUGGAUUAGGGCUUAUGACCACAUUCUAACUUAACUGUCUUUGAAAGACCCUAUUUCCAAAUAAGGUCACUUUCUGAGGUACUGGGGUUCAGAUUCCAACCUCUCUUUUUUGGAGGACACAAUUCAACCCAUAACAGAAGAUACCAAAGACUGCUCAUGUCCUGUCGAGAGGAUUUAGGGGCCAACAUGAAGAGGCCCCUAUUGGCCAAAGGUGAGACACUUUGAGUUCCAAUAGGUAGAACUUAAUAGCAAGUUGAAGUACAUCAAAUAUUUAAAUCCAUUAAUUUGUAAUACUAUUAAAAAAUGAAACUUCCAAUUGGUCACUAUUGGAGGAUGCUGGGGAAUUAACUCUUUAUUUUGAAGAGUGAUAGAUGAAGAAAACUAACUGAGCAGUUAUCUAGCCUUUCCUACAUGGACUGUUCCACCGAGUAUCAAAUUGUGGAUGUCUUGGAUUGAAUGUGACCCCCAGAAGAAAACGUCCAUGUCCUAAUCCUCAGAACCUGUGAAUGUUACCUUACUUGGAAAAAAGUUUUUUUUUUUUUUUCUUAAGGUUUUAUUUAUUUUUUUUUUGAGAGAGAGAGAGAACAAGUUGGGACAGCAGGAGAGAGAGAAGCAGACUUCCCAGCUAAGCAGGGGAACCCAACACGGGUCUCAAUCCCAGGACGUGGAGAUCAUGUCCUAGCUGAAGGCAGAUGCUUAACCAACUGAGCCACCCAGCAGCCCCAAAGAAAGGGUCUUUACAGAUAUAAUUAUGUUAAGGAGUUUUUGAUGAGAUCAUCCUGGAUUACCCUGGUAGGUCCUAAAUCUGAUGACAGGUGUCCUCAUAAGAGAUACAGAGAGGUGAGCAAAAA